rnacentral:misc_RNA from 1 species
GAGAAAAUCCUCGCUGCGUACAGAAAGGCUUCGAAGCAAUGGUGCUCCACCCAGAACAAGCUGGCUCAAGUGAGGCAACGGGGCAGGAAGCGCACCAUGGUCGGAUGAAUGGAGAAGAAGAAAAAUAUGUGGCAUGGAAUGGAUGUAUGUUAUUAGAAAGACCGUCGUCUAAAACGAGAGUGAUGUACCACCAUUGCUAUAUUUUUUUAGCGGUGAGUGGCUUUGGCUGCUGUAACGUUUGUGAAAUCUCGAACUAUGUUGCCUGGUUGCACCAUUUGGUCAGAACUCAGAAGCAGAGUGUCGUUUCAUCCAGAAGUGGGAGAAGUUUUAUUCGUUUCUCAUGCAUGAUAACUGGAAGACAUGGUUG